GAUGAAGAACGCAGCGAAAUGCGAUAAGUAAUGUGAAUUGCAGAAUUCAGUGAAUCAUCGAAUCUUUGAACGCACCUUGCGCCCUUUGGCCAUUCCGAAGGGCAUGCCUGUUUGAGUAUCGUGAACACCUCAACUCUCAUGGCUCGCCAUGAUGAGCUUGGACUUUGGGGGUCUUGCUGGCCUGUGGUCGGCUCCUCUCAAAUGGAUCAGCUUGCCAGUGUUUGGUGGCAUCACAGGUGUGAUAACUAUCUGCGCUUGUGGUUUUCCAUCAGAUAACCUUCAGUGAUGGAGGUUCGCUGGAGCUCAUAAACGUCUCCCCUAAGCGGGGACAGCCCUUUGAAUGUUUGAUCUCAAAUCAGGUAGGACUACCCGCUGAACUUAAGCAUAUCAAUAAGCGGAGGA
rnacentral:misc_RNA from 1 species